GACGAACGCUGGCGGCGCGCUUAACACAUGCAAGUCGAACGGAAAGGCCUGCUUUCCCUUGUGGAUUGCGGGUACUCGAGUGGCGAACGGGUGAGUAACACGUGAGUGAUCUGCCCCCAACUUGGGUAUAAGCCUGGGAAACUGGGUCUAAUUCCCGAUAGGACUGCAGGGUGGUGCCUGUGGUGGAAAACGAUUUUCUAGUGGUUGGGGAUGAGCUCGCGGCCUAUCAGCUUGUUGGUGGGGUAAUGGCCUACCAAGGCGGCGACGGGUAGCCGGCCUGAGAGGGUGGAAGGCCACAUUGGGACUGAGAUACGGCCCAGAAUCCUACGGGAGGCAGCAGUGGGGAAUAUUGCACAAUGGGCGGAAGCCUGAUGCAGCGACGCCGCGUGGGGGAUGACGGCCUUCGGGUUGUAAACUCCUUUCGACCGCGAGGAAGCCACCUGGUUGGAAGGGUGGUGACGGUAGUGGUAGAAGAAGCACCGGCUAACUACGUG
rnacentral:rRNA from 1 species